GGCGGCGUGCCUAAUACAUGCAAGUCGAGCGAAUUUUUGGGAGCUUGCUCCCAAAGGUUAGCGGCGGACGGGUGAGUAACACGUGGGCAACCUGCCUGUAAGACUGGGAUAACUUCGGGAAACCGGAGCUAAUACCGGAUAAUAUAUGAGAGCACAUGGUCUUAUAUUAGAAGAUGGCUUUUAGCUAUCACUUACAGAUGGGCCCGCGGCGCAUUAGCUAGUUGGUGAGGUAACGGCUCACCAAGGCAACGAUGCGUAGCCGACCUGAGAGGGUGAUCGGCCACACUGGGACUGAGACACGGCCCAGACUCCUACGGGAGGCAGCAGUAGGGAAUCUUCCGCAAUGGACGAAAGUCUGACGGAGCAACGCCGCGUGAGCGAAGAAGGUCUUCGGAUCGUAAAGCUCUGUUGUUAGGGAAGAACAAGUAUCGUUCGAAUAGGGCGGUACCUUGACGGUACCUAACCAGAAAGCCACGGCUAACUACGUGCCAGCAGCCGCGGUAAUACGUAGGUGGCAAGCGUUAUCCGGAAUUAUUGGGCGUAAAGCGCGCGCAGGCGGUCUCUUAAGUCUGAUGUGAAAGCCCACGGCUCAACCGUGGAGGGUCAUUGGAAACUGGGGGACUUGAGUGCAGAAGAGGAGAGCGGAAUUCCACGUGUAGCGGUGAAAUGCGUAGAGAUGUGGAGGAACACCAGUGGCGAAGGCGGCUCUCUGGUCUGUAACUGACGCUGAGGCGCGAAAGCGUGGGGAGCGAACAGGAUUAGAUACCCUGGUAGUCCACGCCGUAAACGAUGAGUGCUAAGUGUUAGAGGGUUUCCGCCCUUUAGUGCUGCAGCAAACGCAUUAAGCACUCCGCCUGGGGAGU
rnacentral:rRNA from 1 species